UGGUUCUAGCAUCGAUGAAGAACGCAGCGAAAUGCGAUAAGUAAUGUGAAUUGCAGAAUUUUGUGAAUCAUCGAAUUUUUGAACGCACAUUGCACCUUUUGGUAUUCCGAAAGGUAUGCCUAUUCGAGCGUCAUUUCACCUAUCAAACUUUUUAGUUUGGUUUUGAGUCAAAUCUGUUAAAAAAAGGAUUGACUUGAAAGGAAUUUAGUUUUUUGGUACAAUGAUCUGUACAAUAAAAACUACAACUAUACAUUUUUUAUGGUUGACCUCGAAUUAGGUAGGAUUACCCGCUGA
rnacentral:misc_RNA from 1 species